rnacentral:rRNA from 1 species
UACGUAGGGGGCAAGCGUUAUCCGGAUUUACUGGGUGUAAAGGGAGCGUAGACGGUGAUGCAAGUCAGAUGUGAAAGCCCGGGGCUUAACCGCGGGACUGCAUUUGAAACUGCAAUGCUGGAGUGCAGGAGAGGUAAGCGGAAUUCCUGGUGUAGCGGUGAAAUGCGUAGAUAUCAGGAGGAACACCAGUGGCGAAGGCGGCUUACUGGACUGUAACUGACGUUGAGGCUCGAAAGCGUGGGGAGCAAACAGG